AUUGAACGCUGGCGGCAGGCCUAACACAUGCAAGUCGAGCGGAGCGGAGGGCGGGUGAGUAAUGCCUAGGAAUCUGCCUGGUCGUGGGGGAUAACGUCCGGAAAGGGGGGCUAAUACCGCAUACUAUCAGAUGAGCCUAGGUCGGAUUGGCUAGUUGGGGGGGGAAAGGCCUACCAAGGGGACGAUCCGUAACUGGGCUGAGAGGGUGAUCAGGCACACGGGAACGGAGACACGGUCAAGACGCCUACGGGAGGCAGCAGUGGGGAAUAUUGGACAAUGGGCGAAAGCCUGAUCCAGCCAGGCCGCGUGUGUGAAGAAGGUCUUCGGAUUGUAAAGCACGUUAAGUUGGGAGGCGUUACCAACAGAAUAAGCACCGGCUAACUACGUGCCAGCAGCCGCGGUAAUAC
rnacentral:rRNA from 1 species